rnacentral:lncRNA from 1 species
GUUACACAGCAGAUACUGAAGCUGUAAACAGUAAAUUCAUACUUACGAUGUUAGAAAAAUAAGAUUCUGAUUAUGAAACAAAAGGUUGUUUUCAGUUGAAGAAGUAAAUAAUAGUAAGAAUAAGGAAUUUUGCAAAAGCCAAGGCUUCAAGACUUAAAAAGGAUUCAAAAGACACCAAAGGUUCACUUUUGGCUAAAAGCUAAAUGUGAACCUUUCAAAAUGAACUCAUUGCUGUCUUCCUCUCAAAAGGCCUUCAGAUGGUCAGAUAAAGUACCUGAUGCUGAAAAACAGGAAAUUGAAUCAUGUCUCCAAAAUGUGCCUUUUGUCAUGCACUGUUACAGCUAUAUUUCUUGUAACUACAUUCAGCCUCCAGCCAAGAUAAAGAAUUAUGUGAUACAUACUUCAUCUUCCAUCACUGCUUUCAAAAGAUGUGAAUUCUGCAAACCAGACAGAAGAGGGAGCUAUCCAUCUGGAAAUUAACCAAUCCUUUCAAAAACAUGUCAAAUA